rnacentral:lncRNA from 10 species
CCUUCACAGGCUCCAGACUAAAGAGCCACGCUUUAACUCACUUUCUAACAAGCUUUGCUUAAGAUGUUCUCAGGUCAAAUCAAGAAACAGCAGCAGGCCUGUCUUCAGCUCAGGGCUCCGGACAACCCAUAGCCUGUGUACAAGUGAGAAUGGAUGUCCCAUCUUCCUUGCAGAUGCAGCCAUGAGUCAAGGUGUUCAUUCUGGAGAAUGGAACACAGACAAGACUUUAGACUCCAUUUACCCUCGUGGCCUGACCUUGAGGUACAGGGUCCAACCCGAGGUACAGAGCCCAUCCUGCACACCUAUACCCAGAAGCCUUGCUCGUUUGCCUGCUACCUUUGAAUUCUUUCAUUGCUAAGCCUAAGAGUUGCAGCGUACAAUAGUUUGGAACUUGGCACACAGUUUCCCAAAAAUGCUUUGAAGAUGAGGAGGAGGAGGGGGAAAAGAAGAAUGAUA